UAUCCAUCAACAGUUUCAUUCUCAUCAACUAAAUCACUUCAAGAUAUUCCUUGAACUAUUAAGUGUAAUUGACAGGGACUGGCAGUUAUGAUGGCAGACUGUGGUAGUUCCCAUUCUACGCAACCCAGAGAGCCCUUGGUAGAGAAACCAGCAGAAGAGGGUCCUGGCCAAGGGAGAACAGACUCACCCUGAAUAUGAUCAGACUCAUCCCAAUCGGACUCAUCCGUAGCUGAGCUCCAGCGACCCCGAACAGCAGAAGAAAAACAUUCCAAGUGGAAGCUUGGUUUCAUACACGUCAUUUUGGAGCACAGAGAAAGACAUCUGUCUUAGAGGUAAGUCAAUGACAUCUGGUAUUUCUUAUUAGGACAGUCUACAAAUAGCAUAAAUCUUUAACUGAUAGUGUAAGUCUAGUCAAUGGGGCCACUGACACUGCAGGUAAGUUAGGGAUCCUGCCUACAAUUCUGUAUUUUUCUUUCCCACCUGCCCUUCUGGAGGGUCUGGAG
rnacentral:lncRNA from 1 species